GACGAACGCUGGCGGCGUGCUUUACACAUGCAAGUCGAACGCCCCGCAAGGGGAGUAGCAGACGGGUGAGUAACGCGUGGGAACGUGCCCUUCGCUUCGGAAUAGCCCCGGGAAACUGGGAGUAAUACCGAAUACGCCGUAUUGGGAAAGAUUUAUCGGCGAAGGAUCGGCCCGCGUUGGAUUAGCUAGUUGGCGGUGUAAUGGACCACCAAGGCUACGAUCCAUAGCUGGUCUGAGAGGAUGAUCAGCCACACUGGGACUGAGACACGGCCCAGACUCCUACGGGAGGCAGCAGUGGGGAAUCUUGGACAAUGGGCGCAAGCCUGAUCCAGCCAUGCCGCGUGAGUGAAGAAGGCCUUAGGGUUGUAAAACUCUUUCGCCGGAGAAGAUAAUGACGGUAUCCGGAGAAGAAGCCCCGGCUAACUUCGUGCCAGCCGCCGCAGUAAAAC
rnacentral:rRNA from 1 species